rnacentral:rRNA from 1 species
GGUUAAGCGACUAAGCGUACACGGUGGAUGCCCUGGCAGUCAGAGGCGAUGAAGGACGUGCUAAUCUGCGAAAAGCGUCGGUAAGGUGAUAUGAACCGUUAUAACCGGCGAUGUCCGAAUGGGGAAACCCAGUGCAAUUCGUUGCACUAUCGUUAACUGAAUACAUAGGUUAACGAGGCGAACCGGGGGAACUGAAACAUCUAAGUACCCCGAGGAAAAGAAAUCAACCGAGAUUCCCCCAGUAGCGGCGAGCGAACGGGGAGCAGCCCAGAGUCUGAAUCAGCUUGUGUGUUAGUGGAACGGUCUGGAAAGUCCGACGGUACAGGGUGAUAGUCCCGUACACCAAAAUGCACAGGUUGUGAACUCGAAGAGUAGGGCGGGACACGUGGUAUCCUGUCUGAAUAUGGGGGGACCAUCCUCCAAGGCUAAAUACUCCUGACUGACCGAUAGUGAACCAGUACCGUGAGGGAAAGGCGAAAAGAACCCCGGCGAGGGGAGUGAAAAAGAACCUGAAACCGUGUACGUACAAGCAGUGGGAGCACCUUCGGGUGUGACUGCGUACCUUUUGUAUAAUGGGUCAGCGACUUAUAUUCUGUAGCAAGGUUAACCGUAUAGGGGAGCCGCAGGGAAACCGAGUCUUAACUGGGCGUUAAGUUGCAGGGUAUAGACCCGAAACCCGGUGAUCUAGCCAUGGGCAGGUUGAAGGUUGGGUAACACUAACUGGAGGACCGAACCGACUAAUGUUGAAAAAUUAGCGGAUGACUUGUGGCUGGGGGUGAAAGGCCAAUCAAACCGGGAGAUAGCUGGUUCUCCCCGAAAGCUAUUUAGGUAGCGCCUCGUGAACUCAUCUUCGGGGGUAGAGCACUGUUUCGGCUAGGGGGUCAUCCCGACUUACCAACCCGAUGCAAACUACGAAUACCGAAGAAUGUUAUCACGGGAGACACACGGCGGGUGCUAACGUCCGUCGUGAAGAGGGAAACAACCCAGACCGCCAGCUAAGGUCCCAAAGUCAUGGUUAAGUGGGAAACGAUGUGGGAAGGCACAGACAGCCAGGAUGUUGGCUUAGAAGCAGCCAUCAUUUAAAGAAAGCGUAAUAGCUCACUGGUCGAGUCGGCCUGCGCGGAAGAUGUAACGGGGCUAAACCAUGCACCGAAGCUGCGGCAGCGACACUAUGUGUUGUUGGGUAGGGGAGCGUUCUGUAAGCCUGCGAAGGUGUGCUGUGAGGCAUGCUGGAGGUAUCAGAAGUGCGAAUGCUGACAUAAGUAACGAUAAAGCGGGUGAAAAGCCCGCUCGCCGGAAGACCAAGGGUUCCUGUCCAACGUUAAUCGGGGCAGGGUGAGUCGACCCCUAAGGCGAGGCCGAAAGGCGUAGUCGAUGGGAAACAGGUUAAUAUUCCUGUACUUGGUGUUACUGCGAAGGGGGGACGGAGAAGGCUAUGUUAGCCGGGCGACGGUUGUCCCGGUUUAAGCAUGUAGGCUGAUUGUCCAGGCAAAUCCGGAUAAUCAAGGCUGAGGUGUGAUGACGAGGCACUACGGUGCUGAAGUAACAAAUGCCCUGCUUCCAGGAAAAGCCUCUAAGCAUCAGGUAACAUCAAAUCGUACCCCAAACCGACACAGGUGGUCAGGUAGAGAAUACCAAGGCGCUUGAGAGAACUCGGGUGAAGGAACUAGGCAAAAUGGUGCCGUAACUUCGGGAGAAGGCACGCUGGUGUGUAGGUGAAGUCCCUGCGGAUGGAGCUGAGACCAGUCGAAGAUACCAGCUGGCUGCAACUGUUUAUUAAAAACACAGCACUGUGCAAACACGAAAGUGGACGUAUACGGUGUGACGCCUGCCCGGUGCCGGAAGGUUAAUUGAUGGGGUUAUCCGUAAGGAGAAGCUCUUGAUCGAAGCCCCGGUAAACGGCGGCCGUAACUAUAACGGUCCUAAGGUAGCGAAAUUCCUUGUCGGGUAAGUUCCGACCUGCACGAAUGGCGUAAUGAUGGCCAGGCUGUCUCCACCCGAGACUCAGUGAAAUUGAACUCGCUGUGAAGAUGCAGUGUACCCGCGGCAAGACGGAAAGACCCCGUGAACCUUUACUAUAGCUUGACACUGAACAUUGAGCCUUGAUGUGUAGGAUAGGUGGGAGGCUUUGAAGCGUGGACGCCAGUCUGCGUGGAGCCAACCUUGAAAUACCACCCUUUAAUGUUUGAUGUUCUAACGUUGGCCCCUGACCGGGGUUGCGGACAGUGUCUGGUGGGUAGUUUGACUGGGGCGGUCUCCUCCCAAAGCGUAACGGAGGAGCACGAAGGUUAGCUAAUCCUGGUCGGACAUCAGGAGGUUAGUGCAAUGGCAUAAGCUAGCUUGACUGCGAGCGUGACGGCGCGAGCAGGUGCGAAAGCAGGUCAUAGUGAUCCGGUGGUUCUGAAUGGAAGGGCCAUCGCUCAACGGAUAAAAGGUACUCCGGGGAUAACAGGCUGAUACCGCCCAAGAGUUCAUAUCGACGGCGGUGUUUGGCACCUCGAUGUCGGCUCAUCACAUCCUGGGGCUGAAGUAGGUCCCAAGGGUAUGGCUGUUCGCCAUUUAAAGUGGUACGCGAGCUGGGUUUAGAACGUCGUGAGACAGUUCGGUCCCUAUCUGCCGUGGGCGCUGGAGAAUUGAGGGGGGCUGCUCCUAGUACGAGAGGACCGGAGUGGACGCAUCACUGGUGUUCGGGUUGUCAUGCCAAUGGCACUGCCCGGUAGCUAAAUGCGGAAGAGAUAAGUGCUGAAAGCAUCUAAGCACGAAACUUGCCCCGAGAUGAGUUCUCCCUGAGACUUUAAGUCUCCUGAAGGAACGUUGAAGACGACGACGUUGAUAGGCCGGGUGUGUAAGUGCAGUGAUGCGUUGAGCUAACCGGUACUAAUGAACCGUGAGGCUUAACCUU